rnacentral:lncRNA from 1 species
GGUCCCAGGCGGGCGGGGGAGGAGGGGAAGCGGCCCAGACUCUGGACUCUCGGAGUUCUCCAUUUUCCCCGCCUCCUUCUCCCCUUCUAUUCCCUUCACUUUCCCCCCUCAACGCCGCCGUUACUCCGUCACAUCAAUGAAAUUCGCCUCCUCCGCCCUCCACCUUCCAACCAUUUUCUUCUUUCUUUUCUUCUUUUCUCUCUUUCCCUCUCCUCUUUUCCUCUCUCUUCCUCCCUUUAUCUCUCUGCCUCUCUGUCUUUGUCUCUCUCUCUUGCCUACCACCUAUUUCUCCCCUCUCCUUUUUUCUUUUCUUUUCUUUCUCUCUCUUUCUCCCUCCCUCCCCUAUCUCUGUUUCUAUCUCCCAUCACCUAUUUCUUCCCUCUCCUUUUCUUUUUACUUUUCUCUUUCUUUCUCCUUCUCUUCCCCUAUCUCUGUCUCUAUCUCUCUCCCAUAAUCUACAUAUUCUUUUUCCUUUUCUGCUUUUCCCUUUUCCUCUCUCUCCCUUUCUCCCUCCCCAUCUCUCUCUUUCUCACCACUUAUUUCUCCCCUCUCUUUUUCUAUUUCUUCCUUUCUCUCUCCCUCCUUCCUCCUCUCUCUGCCUCUCCCUUUCCCUCCCUCCCUCUCCCUUCCUCCUUCUUUCUUAUCUCCCUCCUUUCUCUCUCUUUCCAUCUCUAUUACUCCCUCAUCAACAAAAUGACAAUAAUUUAAAUACAUCUAACAGCUCACAUUUCUAUAGUGCUUUACAAAGCAACUUUCCUUCUAAUAGCUCUGCAAGGUCAAGAAUACAAAUUCUAUUUCCCCCAUUUUACAGGUGAAAUUUAUGCUCUUUGAUUCCCAAUUCAGUGUUCUCCCCACUUCCCUUUGCUGUCUCUCCCCUUCCUCUAGGAUCACCUGAAUGAUUGUUGUUCCUUGUAAUCAGUUCUGUUAAUUUUCAGGCUGAGCUCUUUGCCCUUACCUUUCUUUUAGUCCUAACAGGAACCUAUUUUUCUUUCUUUCUAGACUACAGGCACAUCCUCUUCUUGAGACCUUGGGAAUGUUCUUUCCUCUCUCUGGGCUUCAGUUUCCUCCUCAGAAAAACAUGGAGGUGGUAGACUACAAUCUUUGUUCUAAGGCAUAUUUCUUUUCAGAAUCUUUGGAUCCUUAUGACCCUCGAUGUCCAUCCUCUGUCUCCAGACCUUGUUCUCAGGUCUAGCUAGUUCAGCCCAUUCUGCUUGGAAUCAACAUAUUCUUGGAACAACUUGGCACUAACAGCUUGGAUUCCGUUAGGGCUUUUGACAGCAAAUUGCUUUACAAUGAAGAUCUCAGGAGACCUCAUCUGAGCUCUGGGAGGAGAGACAAAGGGAACAUUAUUAUGCCCAUCAUACAGAUGAGGAAACUGAACAAAUGCAUGAGCAAUAUAUUUUUGGCAUUUUUUUGUAUGCAAAUACCCAUAUUUAUGUGUAUGUAUAUAUGGAAGCACACACACACUCAAGGAUAUUAUAUGAUCAUAGAUUGUUAGAGACUGACUAGAUAUUAAAGAGAAUUCAAUCUAAUCUCCUCAUUGUACAGAAUUGGUGGUGGGGGACAGCAAAAUGGGCCAUGGAUAGAAAUUUAAAUCCUACCUCAGAUAUUUGCUAGCUGUGUGACUCUGGGCAAGUCACUUAAUCUCUGUCUGCCUCACUUUCCCUUACUUAUAAAAUGGAGAGAAUAAUAGUACCCACCAAAGGACCAACAUGAUGAUUACAAAAAAAUCCUGGAAAGAAAUAUGGAGGGAUGCAAAGUGAAAGAACCAGGAGAACAUUGUACACAUUAACUGCAAUAAAGUAUGAUAAUCAACUGGGAAUGGCUUAAUU